rnacentral:tRNA from 4 species
ACGUGGAUGGUGUAGUGGUUAGCAUCGGGGAUUGUGGAUCCCCUGACCCGGGUUCGAGUCCCGGUCCACGUC